ACAAGCUCGUCGUCUGCUUAAUGGAAUUUGUCAAACGGAAUUUUAACAUUUUGCGUGUUUAUUGAUUUAAAUAACAAAUUAGUCAGAUUAUCAUCCUCAAUGUCAUCAGCAGCUCGCACUCGGUCGGUUGGAGAUCUCUAAUGGCUGUCUAAACCGCGUUCGUCGCUAACUUCGUUGCAGUCGAUUGGCGGGGGUGACUUUGGCCAGGUCGAACCUGUAUACGCAGUUCUGCGGCGUAGCUGAACACGUUGUGUCGACCUCCAGCGAAGCUCCGCGCCCAAAACCUGUACCGAUUCUGGUUCAUCAAUCAAAAGACUUGCGCGCGCGCGCAAGGAAACGAACCUGCUUAUUUCGGGGAGGUCGUCGAAGGUUGUUGGGCACAUUUCUUCGACCGCACCCUGGCCAAAUCUGAACAUUUGGACUUGCUACAUCAGUGUGGUAGUGAUGCUGUAAGCGACUCGGCGAAAAAAAAACCUGCAACUGUGAGGUCACUGGCUGCGAUGUUGGCUGUGUUUAUGUCCAAUUUCGACCUAUUCCUCCAGAUAUUGUAAAUUUCCGCGGUUCGCGCGCGCUCGCAGUCUGCGUUCGCCGCUGGACCGGUUCGGUUGGUGUGAAUUUUUUUUCGGUGAUUUUGACUCUCCAUCUCAUUUUUUUUGGCAGCAACAGCGGCGGCUAUCAAGAAAGUUUACAUAACCCACGGUGCACGUGUAAAAUUGGUUGGAAAAAUUACUGACCCACAGCCGCUGGGGGUCGCGAAGAAGAAGAAAAAAAAGCGAUAAAGCGCAGUGAAACAGUGAAGAAGAAAAAAUAAAAUCAUCAACCGGAAAGUAAGCCACUAGUGAGAAAACGAAAGUGAGAAGUGAGAAAAGAUUGGAAGGUCUAGUGAGUGGUGAAAAUGCGGGAAAACUUCUUCCUGCUGGUGGGGACGGCCUGCGUUCUGGUGGGCCUUCAGGUGGCCCGAUCGGAGCUCAGUGCGGACGAGGUUGAGUACGACGAGGAAGGCUUCUGGAUCGGACACGGACUGGGCAGUAGGAAAGAGGGUGACGAAAUCCUCAAGAUCCUGUACAAAUCGGUGGGCCCGUUCAGCGAACCACAAAAUGUCACCCUGGUGGAAAAGUUCAACGCUGGCGACGGAGAAAGCAUCACUUUCACGCAGUUCAACUCGUCGAAGGUCCUCACAUACUUCCGCGAGGUGGUGCUGGACUUCAACCCGAAGAACUUCUACAUCAAGCUGAACCUGUACAACAUCACGAACCUGCGGCUACAGCGAACCGUGUACGGCCACCGGUCACCAAACGCGCUCAAGAGACGAUCGAAUCUCGUCUGAGGAAAAAGAAACACGCCACUGAGUAGUUGUAUAGAUUUAGGGCAUCGCAGCUAAGACUAACGGUAGGCAACCCUAGAAGUAUUAUAAAACUGUUUAGCUGAUAGAUCGUCUAGGAGUUAAGUUUAAUCACCGAUAAUACCCCGUUUCAAACGCGAAGUAUUUUGCUAGGACUCACAAAACCAAAAAGAAGUAUGUUGAAACUUGAAUCGUAUGUAGUAUUUUAUAGAAGAAGAAAAACACGUCAACUUUAAGAAAGUUACUCGUUUGCAAGAUUGCACCAUCGUCCCCACACUAACCGAUUGUACAAACUUAAGUUUAGCGCUCAAAAUCAGCCUUCCCUAAAUCAAAACCAUUGAAAAUAUCGAUUCGUUCAAAAACAUACCUCAAACAUUACACAAUCACAGCCAAACAAAAUAAACGCAGGUCAUUGAGACUGUAAUCACACAACCCCCCCGACAGGAAUUUAUGUCAAACAAACAAACCGCAAAUCGUUAAAUACUCAGAAGUGAAAAAAUGGUGCUCGAACAUACGAACAGAAUUAAUAAAUGCAAAUAAACAAACACAAACAGACACAAAACGUAG